UUGACGGGGAGCACCACAACGGGUGGAGCUUGCGGUUUAAUUGGAUUCAACGCCGGAAAUCUUACCGGACCGACAGCAAUAUGAAGGCCAGGCUGAAGACUUUGCCGGAUUAGCUGAGAGGUGGUGCAUGGCCGUCGUCAGUUCGUACUGUGAAGCAUCCUGUUAAGUCAGGCAACGAGCGAGACCCACGCCCACAGUUGCCAGCGUACUCUCCGGAGUGACGGGUACACUGUGGGACCGCCGCUGCUAAAGCGGAGGAAGGAAUGGGCAACGGUAGGUCAGUAUGCCCCGAAUAUCCCGGGCUACACGCGAGCUACAAUGGUUGGUACAAUGGGUAUCUACCCCGAAAGGGGACGGGAAUCUCCUAAAACCAAUCUUAGUUCGGAUUGAGGGCUGCAACUCGCCCUCAUGAAGCUGGAAUCCGUAGUAAUCGCGUUUCAACAGAACGCGGUGAAUACGUCCCUGCUCCUU
rnacentral:rRNA from 1 species